GGCUGUGCUCAGUUUUCUGACAGCACCUCCCGACAGAUGAAAUCCAACCUUUAUGGCUCUGAAAUAUUAAUGUCGAUGCUCAAUGUCUUUUCACUCUCCCUUCCCCCCACCCAUAAUGAGUAAACGUCUCCCCUGGUUAGUGUUCGACUUCCUCGCUUCUUCGCAACUCCAACAGCUCUUUUGACAUAGGAAAAACAGAGAGGGAUGUCAAACAAGAGGAGAAAAGCGGAGAUACGGAUUCUGUUGGAUAAUAUGAAGAGGAAAUUAAACAACACACAAACCAGUCUCGAGAUCGAGAUUGUUUUCAGGGUGAGCUCUAUCCCACGACAGCACUGAUGUCUCUUUUCGUUGUUGUAAAUGCCCAUUAAAUGUAGUUUUAUGGCUUUAAGACUUAAUUAGGCUGCUAUAAACUGAUUCCGAAUGUGUAUUGAAGGUACAAACAGUUCAGGUGCAUCUGAGUCUUGUUAUUCCUACUGUAAGACAGAAGACUGAUGAGGACGGCGGUAAAUGAGGGGAAAAGCGGCAAUCAGAUCCAGGU